CGUCCCCAGCUGACCCUUUCUCUCGGGAUUAGCAGCAACAGCAACAUGCACACCUCCGAGGGGGCUUGAGACUGACUGGGGUGGGGAGCGGGAAUCUCUGGCUCAGAAAGGAACCAAAAAUGAAGCGUAUGGAAACGCUCGGCUAGCUGGCGCUACCAAGAGCGCUGGCUCUGCAGGAAACUUCACCGCGAGUGACCCCAAGACAGGGAGCUCCGGGGGAGGGGGCGAUGGUGCAGCUCGCCGUCUCAAGUCCAGUUAAAAGCACUUGAAAUUAAUUUUGGAUGCAACGCCAGAGAAUGAAUCCAGGACCUCCAGUGUGGUCAAGCAUGUGUUCUGUCAGCUCUAAUGCAUAACUCAAAGCCAGGAAAAUCAUUCUGCAGAAUCACUAGUUGGCUGGACAAUGGUUUGCCCUAUAGACUUGGUCACAACACACUGACUGAGAAACCUCAGAG